UAGUUAUUUAUGAUAUAAGUGUUAAAAGUACAAUUUUAAGGCACGCAUGUGAAAGUUUGCAGAAUGAGCGAAGCGAAUUCUGCAAUUCACAUGAGUGCCUUAAAAAUGUACUUUUUAACACGUGUACUUUGUACGCACGUAAGAAGUUAUACUUUUAUUAUAUGAUUUCAACGAAAUAAAUAUACUUUUAACAGGUUAUUUGUAUUUAAAGAUUUAAACUAAUUUUUACAUACUUACUACUUUCCAAAAAAUUUUAUUAAAACAAUAUUAAAAAUAAAAAAAAAUGUUAGAUAACACACGGAUUCGAACCAGGGACCUCUCGAUCUCCGGUCGAACGCGCUACCACCGAGCUAAACUCCCUUUGCUUUGACAGCUUGUAAUGAUAGGCUGACGCUCCGACCAAACAUCGACACUCGGAACCGUGCGAUUCUCUCAAAUCGCGCAGGUGCCCCCACUAAGUUCCACCUCUCCGAACCAACGCCGCCAGAGGGAUAUUUAAGAGCAUCGCAAGCGACGAUCCGGCAGUCCUGAACGACCGUUCUGGGCUCCAUAACCAGCCAAGCGAAGUGAGCGAGGCCGGCCAACCUGAAUCGCGACGUGCACCGUUCGUGAGGUGAUUCGUAAACUCAGGCAGGCCAAGACGAGACGCACGGUGUACCGAAGUGAGACGCCCAUCCGGAGGAGGACUUCACUGGGACGAGAUAAAAUAUCAAAUUAUUAUUUUGCGUUAUAUUGUUAUAAUUUAGAGUUAAUAGAUUUGCUUUGUUUUCAA